CCGCUCCUCACAUCCCUUCUCCAACCAGGGCAAAGAAGACGUGGGAUCAGAACCUGCGGGCGGUAAACCAAGCCCACAGCUCUCACACUGUUUGGUGAGCAGGGCUGUGUAGAACAACAGGAUUUUUCAACAACUUAUUUCAAGGGAAUAAGAGCUCCCUUGCCAGGACACCCUCAAGCAAGAAUUGCCCUCCUGAGCAGGGCUUCCUGAGGCCAGAUGUGGAGGCUUUUCUUCAGAAAUCUCCUGGUCAGCCAUGAAUAAUCACUACUGUGCAAGAGGAUGAGCUCCGGCCUCUCUUAGUCACCUUUGAGUCCAUCUCAGCUACUGAAAUGUCUGUCCUAUGGAGUGGGAGGCUACCCGGAUGAGAAGAGGAAUAGAAACAGCACAAGGACCACGUGAACUCUCCCGUACUGAACCAUAGUACAGGUCCUACAGGGAAGUUUGCCUUGUUUCCGACCCCACUCCUGAAUGUAUGACAGGCAUUUGCUGAGAACAAAGGCUACCAUUAGGCAUCGCGGCUGAUGCUGUGAGAGUCUAAAGGAUACACUUUCUACCAGGAGGCUUUCCGCCUAGGAAAGGGGAGACAUGAAUCUAAAUGCACUAGAUGAGAGAGCUGUGUAGAUGCGCGUCUUCCUCACUGGUCUCAGUCAUUUUUUAACCUCCCGCUUACCCACAGUACUGCACCUGGCAUGCAGAUGAUGCUCCCAUAAUGUUUGGUAAGCAUUACAUGCAAAAUACAAAAGACAGUUCAUAGGAGGAAGAGAAUGUGUACAUGUAAUUGCGGUGCAUUGGGGCCCAUUUAUAACAGGGUUUCUCAAGAGUGGCACUGUCAACAUCUGGGGACAGGUAAUUCUUUAUUGUGGGGGCCGUCCUGGCUCUUGUAGGAUCUUUAGCAGUAUCCCUGGCCUCUCUGCACUGGAUACCAGGAGCGCUCAGCCAUGAUAAUUGAAAGUGUCUGCAGCCAUUGCCAGAUAUUCCCAGAGAUAACGUCACCCCCACUGAGAAUCACUAGGUUAUAGCUUUUGUGUCAUCCCACUGUCCAAUCCUCCUGCCAGGGUCCUGUGUUCUGAGGUUUUUCUAUUCCAUUUCUAAGAAAAUUAUGCUUCCUAAAAUCUGUGACCUCAGAACUUUAUUCUCUGUUUUUCAAAAUGUUGAUCAAGUCAUGCAAUAGUGAAUUCAAAUGAAACUGGUUAACGGAAAAAGAUACUAGUAGUUCCCUCACCCACAUUCAUCUCCAGAAUCCAUUUGUCACUGGAACAUCUGAAUAGGGCCACUUGGAAGCAGCCCCAUGACAUAUUAACAUCCUACAACAUAAACACCCAGAUGGCACAAGGGAGGCCCCCACACCAACACUUCACAAGAGCCGCCCCAACCAGCCACUGAGCACAGGAGCUUCGGCUUACAAAAGGCAGCUUACUCCCACCUACCAGGAUCACAGAGCAUGGCAGAGUGGCCUAGUCACCUUUGAAAGAUUGCCUACUCUGUCCAAGAUCUAAAAGCCAUUGCUUAGAAUGGUGACAGUUUUAGGUUACAUCCAAAUCUGGAUCUGAAACCACUUUCCAAGUGUCUGUGUGUCCCCACCUCCUGCUGCAAGGGCUGCCUCAAGAUGGGAUGCAGGGUACAUGACCUAAACGCCCAAAACCCCAGUAAGCAUUUCUCAUUGAGAUCCACCUGCUGGCCCUUCUUAAGGGACAGAGCAAGCGAGUGGAGAGAAAGCCCAGGGACUCGGGUCACCUGCAGAAAUGACAAUCAGGAAAGCCGUGAGCCGGUUCCCCCACUGGGGCAUAUUCUGCUUUCUCCUCUUGCCUGAGUUGACUGUGACACGAAGACAUUCCUCAGACCCAGUCCCAGUUACCAGAGGUGAGUCAGCUCAGCCCAACAAUCCCAAUUCAAUGCUUAUUCACAAAUUGUAAUUUUAGUACAAUAGGGCACAGCUUUAAAUAAGAGCUAUGAGAAACCCACCCACCUAUGACAUGGCAGUGGGCUGCUCAUCUCCCCACUCUGGGUGGACAUUCUGUUAGUCAUAGAGGAGCAUCUGGGCCCAGCUCACUUGUCUCCCCACUUUCUUGUAUCUCCAGACAUUUUACCAAACAGACACUGAGUCAGAAUAAGUAGGUUUAGCAAUUAAAAUCUGCGUGGAGGCUGCCUUCAGAAGCAUUUGGAGGAUUUGGAAAUAAAUAUUCCUCCACUGCAAAUCAAACACUCAUUGUAAAAACCUGAAUGUAAUAUGCAUGAAGACAAACUCGAGCUGAAAUCUCAUGACAUAAUCUUUUUCUCCUUCAACGAGGAACAUAAAGGACUUCCAUUCGCUUGCAGGGCAGGCUGAAUAAUUCAGAGUAGAAGCAGAAUGGUCUCUAAGUACAAGAAGCAGUGAGAUCCUGUCAAAGGAAGCAUCUACCUGGUUCUGAACACAGAAAUUUCCAUUGGAAACACUGUGCAGACAAGGAAUGCCCCUAGACGACACCCUAUCACACUAAAGCCGGGGUGUUGAAAUGAGGCAGAGUCAGGUAGUCUGAACACACCCGAUUUCUGGUCAAUGCUUCCUUCAGCCUCAGAGAGGAAGUCAAGAGCUAGAUGUUUCUGUAUUUUGGCCAACCCUACAAGGCCAGCUGGAGAAGGCCCCCUGCAGCAUCUCAUCCCAGAUGGAAGGAAAGGCACCCGAGCCACCAAGCCUGACAUCAUGCCAGGAAGAUGGUCCUUCAGGAUGGGUCAUCUUUGUCCUCUCCAGGCCUGUUGUGGGAGCUGUGAGCCUCCUGGACCUGCUGGACCGCUCUAACAGGAGGUGGUUAGAGCCCCAGCUUAAUAUGGCCAAGGUUUGUCUUCCAUUUACAUGAGGAUCACUGGAUAUCCCCCUUUUAUAAAGUUCCUGGAUUACACACUGCACCUCCCACCCCUGGUAGCUGGUGCAAACAUCUGCCACCCAGGAUCCAUGCAGAUCCAGUCUCACACACAUGCAUACACACACACACACACACACACACACACACACAACCUAAAAGCAUCAUUCCCAGAGCCAGAGCCUGCCACAGCCUCCUACAGGCAGCCCAGCUCCUGUUCAAGGUGAGGUCUAAGAGUUCCCAGCAGAACAGGGCCUGUCCCAAGGACAUGAGCUAUAACAAAGCCAAAUUGUUUCACACUCUAGUCUUGACUAAGGAGCUCUCAUUUUUCCAUCUGGAUGUCCAAAGCCACACUGCAGGCUGGCAGUGGAUCCAGGCUAGAAUGGACUUCUACUCUGAACGUAAGACACUGUUUCCAUCAUUCAUUAUGAGAUACAAAAUCUACAUUCAAAUGUCUCAGUCUGUAAAACUCCAGGCUAGUGGUUCUUAGCAUUUUUAGGGUCACAGACUCCACUGAGAAAUUGAUAAAAACCAAAGACUCUUUGCCUGGUCAAAUGUACUUUCACAUAAAAUUGAUGGCACAGUUUUAGGGCUUAAAAGAAGCCCUGAAAACCAUCCAUAAAUGACUAAAAGCCUCUUCCCUGGUCACUGGAUUGUAAAGCAAGAGGGCACUUCCUAACCACUUUGCACCUGCCCAACUUCAGGUAAUCUCAGUUAAAACGUCUCUUGUGUUAGGGUAAAGCACCAGUAUUUCCUGGACUGGUCAAGAGUUAAGCCUGCAAGUAGCAGAAACUUCCUGGCUCACUUCUAUGUGCUGGCAAUGGGCAACAUCUCUCAGCAGCUAUGAUUUUUUUUUUUUUUUUUUUGAGACGGAGUCUCCCUCUGUCGCCCAGGCUGGAGUGCAGUGGUGCCAUCUCAGCUCACUGCAAGCUCCGCCUCCCGGGUUCACGCCAUUCUUCUGCCUCAGGAGCGAGUAGCUGGGACUACAGGCGCCCGCCACUACGCCCGGCUAAUUUUUUGUAUUUUUAGUAGAGACGGGGUUUCCCGUGUUAGCCAGGAUGGUCUCGAUUUCCUGACCUCGUGAUCCGCCAGCCUUGGCCUCCCAAAGUGCUGGGAUUACAGGCGUGAGCCACCGCACCCGGCCUGCAGCUAUGAUUUGUUGAGCGGUUACUACAUGCCAGGCCCAAAGCAGGGCUCCCAUGCAUUUUUGUCCUUUAACCCUUAAAAUUACCCUAUAAUUGCAGGAUCAAUGUUUCCAUUUUACAGAUGAGGGCAUUAAGGCUCAGAGAGGUGAAGUGCCCUUCUCAAGAAGUCCUGCAAGCUGCAAGUAUGCCUGCCAACGCACUAAGGGCCCAUCAAUUGCACCAGGCAUGGUCAGCCCGAGCAAAUGCCUUCCUCUAAAUUAGUAGGACUGGGCUAAAAUCCCAGAGUACUUGGUGAGAGAGUUGCUAAAAAUUUUGACUGUUUGCAAACUGGGAUUGUCUUCAUUUUUAUUUGCCUUUGGACUUCCUGUUUAGAGAUGAAAACAAGCACAGAAUUUUCCGGAGGCCUACUCUUUCUGAAUUUGUAAUAGAACUACAAAAAGAACACUAAUUUCAAGGAAGCCUCCAUCUCCUCUUAUAGAUAAGAUGUGUGUGUGAUGAAUGAAAACAAAAACUUAGCUCAGUGUGGAAGUUGAUCAUCAAUAAUGACAUCAACUCAGCUUUAGUCACAUUUAAAAAAAACUAGGAGUCUAACAACUGCAUUUUAAAAUAACAGUGACUGAACAAGCUUGGUAAGUAAGAUCAUUAGACAGACAUUUAGAGAGUGACUUAGCCCUAUGCCUGGCACUGUUCUAUGCCCUGGCAAUGCAGAGGUGGUAAGGCAAGGUCCUCUCCACAGCAAACUCAUCAUUAGCAGGGGAGGUGGGGAAGACAUGUGAUUAACUGGAAUAACAAUGUGUUAACUGCUUUACCAGUGAUUUGACUGAGGUGCCAAAGGCCAGAGAGCAGGAAGUGAGUAAUGCUGGGGAAAGGAGAGGAAAGGCCUCAGAGGCUCAGGGAAGGUCUCAGGAGGUCAGGGAAGGAAGAAGAAGAUCUCUCCAAGUCCAGAAGGGCACUGUGGAUGGAGGACACAGCGUCAAUGGGAACCAGAGGGAAACUCAUUAGAGACGAGAGCUGGCUGAGGUGCAGGCUCCAUGUGUGGCAGGAGGAGAUACAGGAUGGGAGCCAGAAUAGGAAGGCGGUAGCCACAUGCUGAAGGCCUUGGUGGCUGGGCAGUGGCUCACACCUGUAAUUCCAACACUUUAGGAGGCCGAGGCAAGAGGAUUGCUCAAGCCCGGGAGUUCUAGGCUACGGUGCACCACGCCGAUCAGGUAUCUACAGUAGGUUUGUCAUCAAUAUGGUGACCUCCCUGGAGCAGGGGACCACCAGGUUGCCUAGGCAGAGUGUACCAGGCCAGGUCAGAAACUAAGCAGGUCAAAACUCCCAUGCUGAUCAGUAGUGGGAUCAUGCCUGUGAAUAGCCACUGCACUCCAGCCUGGGCAACAUGGUGAAAUCCCAUCUCAAAAAAAAAAAAAAAAGGCCUUGGUCAACUAUGAGGAGUCACCAAGAGGUUUUUUUUUUUUUAAUGGAGAAAGGACUCAGUGACAUUUAUAUGGUAGAAAGAUAGCUGUGGCAGACGCAUGAAAGGUAGAAUUUACCUGGGAGAAACCGUAAGCAAAAAAAUGGAAGAGAAAGUCUCUGCAAUUACUUUAAGCCAAGGACGAGGAAGGCUGGAUUCCAGAUAUUCAAAAACAAACAUUCCCACAGCAAACCAGCAGGGUCAGAUGGUGACAGGGAAGGCACAAAGCAGAAAAAGAAAUGCCUCCGAGGUUUCUAAGUGGAGCCGUCAGUCAACGAUGAUGCCGGUCAGAGAAAGGAAGCCCAGGAAGAAGAGCCAGUCCCGAGGUAAGGAGACAACAAGAUGAUGAGCUGUGUUUUGGACAGGUUGAUUUUGAGGUGGCCAAAGGAGAGUAGGUAAAUCGUCUGCAGAUGACAGCUUUAGAAGAUUAUAAGCAUAAAGCAUGAAGAAAAAGAGACAAGAACUAAGGAUAGAAGCUUAGGAAUAUUAAUUUUAAAAAGGAAUUGAAGGAGAGAAGAGCUAGCAAAAGAUACUGAGUAUGAACAGUUGAACCUGGGCUGUGGUCAAGACACCUUCCAAGAAGUCAAAUACCAAAAGCCACAGAGAGGUAAGGGAGAAUAAGACCCAAAAGGAAGGCCCUCAAUCAGGCUGUUAGAAGUUCCUUACUGCGUUUUCAAUUUCAGCAGAACCUUACGGGAUUUGGGAAUGGAAGCCGAAAGUUGAUACUACUCUUUGAAGAAUUUUAACCAAGGAUGGAAGAAAAGAGAUCAUCCACCCUCGUGACAAAGCCUUCCUUUGUCAUGGAGGGAGUGUGUGACCUAUUACAUGCCAGACCAUGUAACCUCACCAGCCUCAUCACGUCACGCCUGUGUUUGAGUGAGGCAGGUGAAGAGGGACAUGCCUAUACUGUGGCUAACGUCCAGAACUGGCUAAUGAUCCUCAUUGCUAGUACCGCCAAGUAUUCAUAGUUCAGGACUUAAAUUGUCCUAGAAAAUGUAGGGUAAAGACUACUGCUCAACAUUCCAGUGAGAGGCUGAGACUUCAGUGGCCCAUCGGAAGAGGAGACCUAUUUACUAAGAAAACACAAAACCAGGCCAGGUGCAGUGGCUCAUGCCUGUAAUCCCAGCACUUUGGGAGAUCAAGGCAGGAGACUGUUUGAGCCCAGAAGUUCAAGACCAGCCUGGGCAACAUAGUGAGACCCCAGUUUCUGCAAAAAAAAAAAAUAAUUUUUUAAAUUAGCUGGGCAUGCUGGCAUGCACCUGUAGUCCCAGCUACUCAGGAGGCUGAGGCAGGAGGAUCAUUUGAGCCCAGGAGAUCGAGGCUGUAGUGAGCUAUGAUUGUCCCACUGCACUCCAGCCUGAGUAACAGAGUGAGACUUCACCCAAACCAAAAAAUAAAAAUAAAAAGAAGAGAAAACAUAAAACCAACAGUGCAAGUGGCAAAUAUACUGCUGUUGAUAAUUUUGGUAAUACCAAGUUGAAGGUUCCAGGAAGCAAGCAUUUUCAGACACCACCGGUGAGGAUUUACAGUAGCACAACUUAUCAACAAGUAACUCAAAAAAAAGGGGAAGAAAAACCUAAAAGAUUGCAGACACUGUAGCCCAGCGAUUCAACGUACACAAACUUAUUCUAUAAAAGUCACAAGGAUAUCUGCAAAGAUUUAUCUACAAGCAUAUUUAUCAUAACUUUGUUUAUAAGAGUUUAAAACUGGAAACAAUGUAAAUUUCCAACAACAGGAAAUUAGUUAAACACAUUGUUAUACAUCUCCAUAGGAUACAAUACUCGGCAACCAUUUAAAAUGUUAAGUAGGCUGAGCAUGGUGGCUCAUGCCUAUAAUCCCACCAUUUUGGGAGGCCAAGGCGGGAGGAUCACUUGAGCUCAAGGGCUUGAGACCAGCCUGGACAACAUAGUGAAACCUCAUCUCUGCAAAAGAAUUUUUAAAAAUUAGUCAGGCAUUGUAAUCUCAGCUACUUGGGAGACUGAAGCAGGAGAAUCACUUGAACCUAGGAGGUGGAGGUUACAGUGAGCCAAGAUCACGCCACUGCACUCCAGCCUGGGCGACAGAGUGAGACUGGGUCUCAAAAAAAAAAAAUUAGUCAGGCGUGGUAGUGCACACUUAUAGUCCCAGCUACUCAGGAGGCUGAGGUAGGAGGAUCACUUGUGCCCAGGAUGUUAAUGAGCAGUGAAUGCAUCACUGCACUCCAGCCUGGGUGACAAAGUGAGACCCUGUCUCAAAAUAAAAUAAAAUAAAAUGUUAAACAGGCAACUAUUUAGCAACCCAGAAAAAACGGUCACAUUAUAUUAUUAAAUUUUAAAAAAUAGUUCACAAAAGAUAAUGAGUACAUUAAAUAUGUAUAUAUAUAUACACACAUGCACUCAUACACACUCAGACAAAAGACUAGAAGAAUGGACACCAAAAUAGUAACACAUUCAAAUGAAAGAGGAAGAAUAUGCACCAAAAUAGUAACAGUAUCUAAAUUUCUGGAUGGCACAAUAAUGGGUGGUUUUAAUUUACUUUUUGCUUCUCCGUAUUUUCCAAAAUAUUUAUAAGAAACACUCUAUAGCUUUGGUAAUUAAAAAUAGUCUGUUAUUUU
rnacentral:lncRNA from 10 species